rnacentral:rRNA from 1 species
AAAUCUGGUUGAUCCUGCCAGAGGCGACCGCUAUUGGAGUUCGAUUAAGCCAUGCGAGUAGAAAGAAAUUAGAUUCUUUGCAUACUGCUCAGUAACACGUGGAUAACCUGCCCU